rnacentral:rRNA from 1 species
UUAAGGGUGCAGGGCGGAUGCCUUGGCACUAGGAGCCGAUGAAGGACGUGAUAAGCUGCGAUAAGCUUCGGGGAGUUGCACGUAAACUUUGAUCCGAAGAUUUCCGAAUGAGGAAACUCACUUAGAGUAAUGUCUAAGUAUCAUUAAGUGAAUACAUAGCUUAAUGAGGGGAACUCAGGGAACUGAAACAUCUAAGUACCUGAAGGAAGAGAAAGAAAUUCGAUUCCGUAAGUAGCGGCGAGCGAACGCGGAUUAGCCCAAACCAAUAAAGUUUUCUUUAUUGGGGUUGCGGACAUAUCAUAACGAAGAGGUAUCGUAAUUGAAGAGGUUUGGAAAGACCCACCACAGAAGGUAAUAGUCCUGUAUGUUAAACGAGAAGACUUUAGAUAUGAUCCAGAGUACCACGGGACACGUGAAACCCUGUGGGAAGCAGGAGGGACCACCCUCCAAGGCUAAAUACUACCUAGUGACCGAUAGCGUAUAGUACCGUGAGGGAAAGGUGAAAAGAACCCCGGGAGGGGAGUGAAAUAGAACCUGAAACCCUGCACUUACAAGCUGUGGAAGCACAUUUCUUGUGUGACCGCGUACUUUUUGUAGAACGGGCCAACGAGUUACGUUAAGUAGCAAGGUUAAGCACUUAAGGUGUGGAGCCGUAGCGAAAGCGAGUUUUAACUGAGCGUUCAGUUACUUGACGUAGACCCGAAACCGGGCGACCUACCCAUGAGCAGGAUGAAGCGAAAGUAAAAUUUCGUGGAGGUCCGAACCCACGAGCGUUGAAAAGCUCGGGGAUGACUUGUGGGUAGCGGUGAAAUUCCAAUCGAGCCCGGAGAUAGCUGGUUCUCCCCGAAAUAGCUUUAGGGCUAGCCUCAAGGUGAGAGAUACGGAGGUAGAGCACUGAAUGUCCUAGGGGGUAUUGCACCUACCGAAGACUAUCAAACUCCGAAUGCCGUCAUCUUAUACUUGGGAGUCAGACUGUGGGUGAUAAGAUUCAUAGUCGAAAGGGCAACAGCCCAGAUCGUCAGCUAAGGUCCCUAAAUGUAAGUUAAGUGGUAAAGGAUGUGGGAUUGCACAGACAACCAGGAUGUUGGCUUAGAAGCAGCCACUCAUUCAAAGAGUGCGUAAUAGCUCACUGGUCGAGUGAUCCUGCGCCGAAGAUUUCCGGGGCUAAAACUUACUACCGAAGCUACGGCAUCAGUAAUGAUGGGUAGGGGAGCUUCCCAUACGGGUUGAAGCAUGACCGUAAGGACAUGUGGACAGUAUGGGAGUGAGAAUGUUGGCAUGAGUAGCGAGAUGUGGGUGAGAAUCCCACAGGCCGUAAACCCAAGGUUUCCAGGGGAAGGUUCGUCCGCCCUGGGUUAGUCGGGACCUAAGCUGAGGCCGAAAGGCGUAGGUGAUGGACAACAGGUUGAUAUUCCUGUACUACCGAUAACCGUUUGAGAGAAGGGAUGACACAGUAGGAUAAGCUAAGCACACUGUUGGUUAUGUGUGCCCAAGCAUUGAGGCAGUCAAAGUAGGCAAAUCCGCUUUGAUAAUGCUGGGAUGUGAUGGGGAGCGAAAUUUAGUAGCGAAGUAGCUGAUUUCACACUGUCAAGAAAAGUCUCUAUCGAGGUUAAAGGUACCCGUACCGCAAACCGACACAGGUGGGUGAGGAGAGUAUCCUAAGGCCAGCGAGAGAACUGUUGUUAAGGAACUCGGCAAAAUGACCCCGUAACUUAGGGAUAAGGGGUGCCACCAUCAGGUGGCCGCAGAGAAUAGGCCCAAGCGACUGUUUACCAAAAACAUAGGUUUCUGCUAAGUCGCAAGACGAUGUAUAGGAGCUGACGCCUGCCCGGUGCUGGAAGGUUAAGGGGAUCUGUUAGAGCAAUCGAAGCAGUGAACUUAAGCCCCAGUAAACGGCGGCCGUAACUAUAACGGUCCUAAGGUAGCGAAAUUCCUUGUCGGGUAAGUUCCGACCCGCACGAAAGGCGUAACGAUUUGGGCACUGUCUCAACAACAGACUCGGUGAAAUUGUAAUUCCGGUGAAGAUGCCGGAUACCUGCGACAGGACGGAAAGACCCCAUGGAGCUUUACUGUAGCUUGACAUUGGGUCUUGGUACUACAUGUACAGGAUAGGUGGGAGGCUUUGAAACCAGGACGCCAGUUUUGGCGGAGCCAUCCUUGGGAUACCACCCUUGUAGUACUGGGACUCUAACCAUAGGCCAUGAAUCUGGUCUUGGGACACUGUCAGGUGGGCAGUUUGACUGGGGCGGUCGCCUCCCAAAAGGUAACGGAGGCGCUCAAAGGUUCUCUCAGUACGGUCGGAAAUCGUACGUAGAGUGUAAAGGCAAAAGAGAGCUUGAUUGCAAGACAUACAGGUCGAGCAAGGAUGAAAAUCGGACUUAGUGAUCCGGUGGUUCUGCGUGGAAGGGCCAUCGCUCAACGGAUAAAAGCUACCCUGGGGAUAACAGGCUUAUCUCCCCCAAGAGUCCACAUCGACGGGGAGGUUUGGCACCUCGAUGUCGGCUCAUCACAUCCUGGGGCUGUAGUAGGUCCCAAGGGUUGGGCUGUUCGCCCAUUAAAGUGGUACGCGAGCUGGGUUCAGAACGUCGUGAGACAGUUCGGUCCCUAUCCGUCGCAGGCGUAGGAAAUUUGAGAAGACCUGUCCUUAGUACGAGAGGACCGGGAUGGACGUACCUCUGGUGUACCAGUUGUCCUGCCAAGGGCAUGGCUGGGUAGCUAUGUACGGAAUGGAUAAGCGCUGAAAGCAUCUAAGCGCGAAGCCAACUUCAAGAUAAGAUUUCCCACCGCAAGGGUAAGACCCCAGAAAGACUAUCUGGUUGAUAGGUCGAAGGUGUAAGUGCAGCAAUGUAUUUAGCUUAUCGAUACUAAUAGGUCGAGGACUUGACC